rnacentral:lncRNA from 1 species
UCCAAAUCCAUCUUCCUGAAGCACAUCUCUGACUGUGUGACUUACUCUGAUUGCAGGGCUCCUAAAGGCCAUCUCUCCCUAUGGGGACUUCAGCUUAUGUUCUCAUCCUUACCUCCUACUCCUGCUCUUCUCUCAUGCAUUCCUGCAGCCAAACGACACAACUUGCCCACGUGACUGUAACAGGACAUAUAAAGGGAUCAUCUGAGAAUUACUCAUUGUCAAAAUGGAAACAAUGCAACCACCAUUCUCAAACUUCAAUGAGUAGAAGAAUCAUGGCAGCUUGUUAAAAUGCCUGAGUCUCAUCUCAGAUAUUCAAUUCAGGAUGACUGAGGUAAGGUCCAAAGAUGUGCAUUUGUAACAUGUUCACCUAGGUAUUUCUGAUGCAAGUAAUCCAAAAACAACACUUUG